CACGAGGCCAGCGUCUCGCGAUCUGGUUACACAGGGCGUUUCUGCUCUGCCUUAUGUUUUUCAGAUACAAAGGGGACACCUGAGAAGACCGGAAAAUAACAGAAAGGGGCCCGGGAUGAAGACAUUCUGGGAAGGAAAUACCAAACAAGAGUUCCAUAGAGGAUUCUUCAGAAACCAUACCACGUCCCAAAGAUCAUUAACAUGGAUUCCAGGAAAUGAAAACGUGGGCAAGGACAGCCCCUUCUCCACCGCCCUGGCCUCCAGCCCCACAGGGCACCAGCCUGUGUGAGCACCCAGCAGACGCCGCUGCACUGAACCCUGAGGACUUUCUUUCCUCUUCUUCUUGGAUAUAUUAGCUCAUAAUUCCAAGUGUUGGAUAAGGUUGUGGUAAAUCUUUUAAAAAUUCUCUCAAAAAGCAAUAUAGUCAAUGGUUACGUGAUAAUGAUCAUGCAUUUACUCCCAAAAAGAAUAAGACAGCUGUUGUAUUGUUAGAGCAUGUGCCUGCAGCUGGGGACACGCUUUUCAGUGUCUGCAUCACACACACACUGAAGUGCCUCCAACAAGUAUGUGGAAGGGCCCAUCACGUGCCCUCGAUGGCCCAGGAAGGGGCCAGUGCUGAUGGAGACACAGCCCCAAGGCACUCAUGCAAUAUAACACAAAUUUAACAACAGGAACAAUAAAAUAAAACAAGCUCUGGACACUGCCUCUCUUCCUCUAAUCAGGAGACGGCCCAUUCCCUGGUUUCCGGCUAGGCCCACUGUUUGGGACAGCAAACCCAGGGGCAGAACAGCCCAGGGGCCCCCUUAGGAUCUGGACAUGAGCAACUGGCACUGGGUGUGGUGUGGCGUCGCCUGCAGCCCACCAACCUAGCACAUGGAACCUGUCUCACUUUCUGGCCAAGUGACCCAAGGUACGGCCCUGACCCACAUCACAGGGUGGUCCUGAGAAUGAAAUGGCACAACAAAUGGGAACGAUGCUGCAGACCCGGGAGGACUCUGACCCUGCGGGCUUCAGGAAGCAUCUCACCAAACCACCACACAAACGGUA
rnacentral:lncRNA from 1 species